AUUGAUCGCUGGCGGCAGGCCUAACACAUGCAAGUAGAACGAGUGGCGGACGGGUGAGUAAUGUCUGGGAAACUGCCCGAUGGAGGGGGAUAACUACUGGAAACGGUAGAUAAUACUGCAUACAAUCGGAUGUGCCCAGAUGUGAUUAGCUGGUAGGGGGGGUAACGGCUCACCUAGGCGACGAUCCCUAGCUGGUCUGAGAGGAGGACAAGCCACACUGGAAGUGAGACACGGUCCAGACUACUACGGGAGGCAGCAGUGGGGAAUAUUGCAAAAUGGGCGCAAGCCUGAUGCAGCCAUGCCGCGUGUAUGAAGAAGGCCUUCGGGUUGUAAAGUACUUUCAGCGAGGAGGCGUUACUCGCAGAAGAAGCACCGGCUAACUCCGUGCCAGCAGCCGCGGUAAUUC
rnacentral:rRNA from 1 species